GUCUCAUAGGGAGAGUAGACAUAAGUGAGUAAUUAUGACAAAUAUUAGCAUGACCCCUGCACAAGGAUGACACACAAAGUUUUAGGGUAGCAAAAUUNNNNN
ensembl:snRNA U6 U6 spliceosomal RNA